UACGUAGGUGGCAAGCGUUGUCCGGAUUUACUGGGCGUAAAGAGCGCGCAGGCGGUCGUUCAAGUCGGGUGUGAAAGCCCCCGGCUCAACUGGGGAGGGUCACGCGAUACUGAUCGACUCGAAGGCAGGAGAGGGUAGUGGAAUUCCCGGUGUAGUGGUGGAAUGCGUAGAUAUCGGGAGGAACACCAGUGGCGAAGGCGACUACCUGGCCUGUUCUUGACGCUGAGGCGCGAAAGCUAGGGGAGCAAACGGG
rnacentral:rRNA from 1 species